AUGGAGACUUUCCCUCCUCGCUGGCCCCGCAUCUGGCCCGGAUUAACCGCCUUGGGCUCCCUCCCCAGAUUGCCCCACCCACCGUCAGCCUCGUCAGGUAUGUCUCGUGUUCCCUAACCUUGACGCUUCUCCCUUCUCGGCGCCUGCUUCGUUGGUUGCCUUCAGCGGACGCCGCCGAUUCGGCUCUCCUGUUCGGCGCCCUCCCCAGAUUGCCCCACCCACCGUCAGCCUCGUCAGGUAUGUCUAGUGUUCCCUAACCUUGACGCUUCUCCCUUCUCGGCGCCUGCUUCGUUGGUUGCCUUCAGCGGACGCCGCCGAUUCGGCUCUCCUGUUCGGCGCCGUGUCUUGCGACAGACAAUGCUACAUUCUGGAGUACAUGGAUUAGAUGGGUGUUGUGCACUGCUUUUAUAUGGAUCUAAUGAUUGUGGCCUUGAACGUUCUCGCCAGGCAUAUCUCAUGUUUUUACAUGGAUUAGAUAAGUACAUGAAUCUUUAUUUAGGCCUGUUUGGUUACUUUAGUCUAGGGACUAAAGUUUAGUACUCCAUAUCCAGCUUGAUUUGAGGGACUAAAAGUAUCCAUAACGCAUUAAAUGACUCGUAAGAAACCAAAAUGCCUCUCAUCAUUCUCUGGCAUUAGAGCAUCUGAAAUAAAUGAGAGCCAAAAGUGGAAUUAAUAUGGUUUAGUCCCUUUUAUCACCCCUUGAAGGGACUAGAGACUAAAGCAGUUUAGUCCUUGUUUUAGUCCUACUAUUUGGCAAUUUAUAGACUAAAUGAGACUAAAAUGGAGGGACUAAUCUUUAGUCCUUGGAACCAAACAGGCCCUUAACCCGAAGGUAAUUGAGAUUGCGAAGAAGAUGAAAGAGGAGAGGGUCAAGUUGUUUACUUCAGAAUAUUUUGCUUACAGAUGAUACGACUAGAUCAAAUCAGUUGCAUUGUGAGUUGUGACAUGUUGGCAGGAUGUCAGUUUCCCUUUUAACCUAGCUCUUGUUUGCUUCCUGUGUAAUUUGUGUAUAUCCCUGUGAUGAACAUUUUAGUAAUCUGGGUGCUCAUUCAAUUGGCGCGCCCUCCUCAUCACUCUUAGAUGGGGAGGUUGAAGGAACCCAUAUCGAUGAUGUAUACACCGUUGAGAUGUUUGCUUCUCGUGUAAUUUGUGUAUAUCCCCGUGAUGAACAUUUUAGUAAUUUGAGUGCUCAUUCAGUUGGUGCUCCCUCCUCAUCACGCAAAUAGGUACUGAAGCCCAUAUGACUAUGCAGAUCUAGGACAGAAUGUUUGCAAUAAAUACUGACAUGGAUAUCUAGCUUUGGCUUUGAAAGAUGUAGGGAUCUUUUGUUAAAUUGAUUUACCUAGGGUCCUGCUACAAGAGCUUACCUGUUACCUCGUUAUAUCUUUGUGAGAUUACAGCAAAAGUAUCCAAUUUCUACAUAUUUUACUGCUACACAGAUUUGUCUGUCUGUUUGGUCAUGGAUAUGGUUCGGUUUUACUGCUGUAAAAAGGGAUUAAAAAAUCUGCAACCUGAUUUCAAUUUUUAUUUUUUAUUUGCAUCACGAUGAAAUGGUAGGG
rnacentral:lncRNA from 1 species